UACGGAGGGUGCGAGCGUUGUUCGGAAUCACUGGGCUUAAAGCGUGUGUAGGCGGAUCGUUAAGUACCUUGUGAAAUCCCACGGCUCACCCGUGGAACUGCUGGGUAUACUGGCGGUCUUGGGCCAACUAGGGGCAGCUGGAACAAGCGGUGGAGCGGUGAAAUGCGUAGAUAUCGCUUGGAACGCCGAAGGUGAAAACAGGCUGCUGGGGUUGUGCCGACGCUGAGACACGAAAGCCAGGGGAGCAAACGGG
rnacentral:rRNA from 1 species